UACAGGGGGGGGCAAGCGUUGUUCGGAAUUACUGGGCGUAAAGGGCUCGUAGGCGGCCAACUAAGUCACACGUGAAAUCCCCCAGCUUAACCUGGGAACUGCGUGUGAUACUGGAUGGCUUGAAUCCGGGAGAGGGAUGCAGAAUUCCAGGUGUAGCGGUGAAAUGCGUAGAUAUCAGGAGGAACACCGGUGGUGUAGACGGCUCACUGGACCGUAACUGACGCUGAGACACGAAAGCGUGGGUAGCAAACAGG
rnacentral:rRNA from 1 species